UUUUAAAACUAUAUAUAAAAUAUUUUUAAAUAACUUUAAAAUAAAUUAUAUAUACAAAAUGUACAACAAUUAUAACACCCCACAUCGAUUUAUCUAGAAUAUCGAUAAGAGUAUACAUAACUGAAUCAGGAAACAUUAAAUUUUCAUCACAUAUUGUCCGAAUACAUAAAUAGGAUUACAAAAUCCAAGAGAUUAAUACUAAAUUGAGCUAACAACUGAAAACAUAAAGAAACUAAAUCAUAUACAAAUAUAAGAUAACAUGACGUCAGCUCAACUAGCAUAAUCCAAGUAUCUGAACUCCAUGCU
rnacentral:lncRNA from 1 species